UACGGAGGGUGCAAGCGUUAUCCGGAACCACUGGGUUUAAAGGGUGCGUAGGCGGCUAAAUAAGUCAGAGGUGAAAGCUUGCAGCUUAACUGCGAAAUUGCCUUUGAUACUGUAUAGCUUGAAAGGAGCUGAGGUCAGCAGAAUGUGGCAUGUAGCGGUGAAAUGCAUAGAUAUGCCAUAGAAUACCAAUUGCGAAGGCAGCUGGCUGGGCUUACUUUGACGCUGAGGCACGAAAGCGUGGUGAUCGAACAAG
rnacentral:rRNA from 1 species